GGGCUAGGCUGCGGCGAGCUGCUUCGGGUAGACAAGAAUAGGUAAGCAGGGCAGGUCGGUAUCGCGAGCGGCGAGGCCUCUCGAAGAAGGUGCAGCAGAGCGGGUUCCGACAGCCACGGCAGCACCUGAUCCACGAGCGGAGGAAGGGGAGGAGGUAGGACGGGAGGCUCGAGAAUACGAGGGAGGCGGCGAGGAAGGGGUUCCGUGUACUGCUGCCAGUGCCGGUAGACGAGGGGGCGGGGCCGAGGGGGUUCCUGGGGGGGACACUCGCGACGAGCACUCCCGGAAGGGUGGCGAUCGAGGAGGUGGCGACGACGAUGCUCGAACGAGAUCGGCCCUCGAACGAGAUCGGCCCUCUCCUGUCCUCCUCCUUCGCGCCCACCUCCUAGAACAGGUCAGACCUCGUUCUUUUUCUUCUUCUAACGAUCCUUACCUCAAGAAGGCACACGGCGAUAAAAACGAGAAACGAGUCACGUAAGUACAACUCAGAUUGUUCUGCUCGUGUUCAACCUCACAACGGCAACGAAACCAGUGCCACAGUGAUUUCAAAACAACCGAACAUUAUAUCAGAUCAAUGUGUAUGUAACUAUAAAUCAACCGUCUUUUUGAUCAACGUGUGUAUAUACGAGUCAAACCGAACAUUAAAUCAGAUCAAUGUGUAUAUAAUUACAAUUUAACCGUCCUGUGAUGAACGUGUGUGUAUACGCGUUAAACUGCGCCGUUACAUCAGAUCAACGUGUGUGUAACUAUAAAUAAACCGUCCUGAUCAAUGUGUAUAUACGAGUUAACCGAGCCGUUAUAACAGAUCAACGUGUGUAUAACUACAAAUCAACCCUCCUGAUAAGCUUGUGGGUAUACGAGUCAACCGC
rnacentral:rRNA from 1 species